GAUGAACGCUGGGGGCGUGCCUAAUACAUGCAAGUCGAGCGAACGGACGAGAAGCUUGCUUUUCUGAUGUUAGCGGCGGACGGGUGAGUAACACGUGGAUAACCUACCUAUAAGACUGGGAUAACUUCGGGAAACCGGAGCUAAUACCGGAUAAUAUUUUGAACCGCAUGGUUCAAAAGUGAAAGACGGUCUUGCUGUCACUUAUAGAUGGAUCCGCGCUGCAUUAGCUAGUUGGUAAGGUAACGGCUUACCAAGGCAACGAUGCAUAGCCGACCUGAGAGGGUGAUCGGCCACACUGGAACUGAGACACGGUCCAGACUCCUACGGGAGGCAGCAGUAGGGAAUCUUCCGCAAUGGGCGAAAGCCUGACGGAGCAACGCCGCGUGAGUGAUGAAGGUCUUCGGAUCGUAAAACUCUGUUAUUAGGGAAGAACAUAUGUGUAAGUAACUGUGCACAUCUUGACGGUACCUAAUCAGAAAGCCACGGCUAACUACGUG
rnacentral:rRNA from 1 species